UCCUGCUGAGUGCUUCAGCAAGAAGCUUGUGCAUUUUUCCUAUCAAAAAUCUCUACUGUACAGACCCCUAAUUGAGGCCUUGCUUAUCAUCCCAGAAAAUGCUAUCUAUCAAAAAUCUCUUUGGGUACGCUAUAUUGCUUUGUAAUAUAACCCUUCGGUAGAAUGCUUUCUGCCUAUCUAUUUAAUUAGCACGCUGUCUUUUUCGUAAAACUUUGGCAAUCAAAAGAGAGUUCUAUGCUUAUAUUCCUGUCUGUUGUUGCCUUUCUUCAAUUCAUGUACUUCAAUGAGCCUGCAUCAUAAUCAUUUACGAGGUAUUGAAAUUUCCUGUUAAAAAGCACUUGCACCUGCUUAGUUAUUUAACGAAUAAUUAUCCUGCUGCCUUCCCCCGUUAGGAUCAGUUAUCAACUCAUCCUGACUGCAGGUAAUCUUUCUUAAGUUUAUAUUCAUAGUUGGUGUCAAAAAGUCUAACCAUAACCAUCAAACCUUUUCUGUACUAUUUUGGUUGGCUUUGUUAAUCCUCAUUUGGUAAUCAUUCCUUUCUCGAGCUACCUUUAAUAUUAGAUUUCUAUUAAUUUGUGUAAUUUUUUUUUGACCUGUGGCAUUAUUUAUCUUUCUUUUUAAACUGGUCAGCUUAUUCUUGAACUCAGCUAAAGGCUAUCUUACAAUUGCAUUGGUCUCUCAGCUUGCUCUCGAGCUUGGCCUAGUGCUGAAAAAUAUCAAGUAGCCAUGGUAUUUUUGCAGACAAGUUCUGGAAGCUGUUAGGAGUGGUUUCUCUGUAUUGAUAUAUUUAUAAAUCUUGUUGUAGCAGGCGUUUCUUUUCUUAUCUUUUCUUUUCCUUUUGUUUUUUUGGAUCUAUACCCAGAAUUUGAACCCUUGGCGAGCUGCUAGCUAAGAAGUCCGAACCAACUGAUAGCAGUUGUUGGCAGAGAGUGGCCGUUUCACCCUCUGCGAAGUGCAUUAAUUGAAACUAUACCAUUCAUGUUACAUGAUGUAUUCACACAAGUUACUAUAUCUUCUGAAGUUAGAAGCUGGGCUAUAGACCUUGCUGAAAGCUUAAGUGAUCUCCUACACAUUCAGCAUUUAUGCAUAACACCACUGCAAGUCUUGCAAAUUUAGUUUCAUUGAAAGCAAAUCACCUGCACACACGGGUAGCCUUUGCACAAUACCUUGUGCAUUUUAGUUUAUUUGGAAUGAAUAUGAGUGAAUAUGCACAAUGAUGAUGAAAUUGCAUCCUCCAAGCCUCAGUUGUCGGUUUUCUUUCCCUCUUCCUUUUAUCCGACUCCAAUCCCUUCUCUUAAAUUCCAACU
rnacentral:lncRNA from 1 species